UACGUAGGGUGCAAGCGUUGUCCGGAAUCAUUGGGCGUAAAGAGCUCGUAGGCGGUCUGUUGCGUCGACUGUGAAAACCCGGGGCUCAACCCCGGGCCUGCAGUCGAUACGGGCAUGACUGGAGUUCGGCAGGGGAGACUGGAAUUCCUGGUGUAGCGGUGAAAUGCGCAGAUAUCAGGAGGAACACCGGUGGCGAAGGCGGUUCUCUGGGCCUGUACUGACGCUGAGGAACGAAAGCGUGGGGAGCGAACAGG
rnacentral:rRNA from 1 species